CACAGGACGUGCCUCGUGGCCCGCCUUAUUUUGCCUUAUUUUGCCUUUGAUUGGCUUACGCUGUUACUCUUACCCUAACCCUAACCAAUCCACACCCCUCAUGCCCAAACCUAACUACGUCGACACGUCGAGAAGAUCUGACCUAGCAAUUGCGACUUAUUUUUCAAGAUGGAUUCACGGGUACACAUCAGUGUAAUUCAAAAAAAUAACACACUGCGGCUGACACGGUGCACGGUGUGCUGUACCAAAUAUCACUGUCCCCUUUGCCCCACUUCAUUGUACAAGCCCCGGUGUAGGGCAAAGGUUUUGCAGCACAUGGAGGUGCAUGUAAAAAAUGCCAUUCAACAUGAAGAUUUCUUCAUAACAAAAUGCCACCAGGCCUGCAGGAGUGGAAGCAGUGGCCACUUCCACUGCCCUAUCUGCCUCAGGACCACAAUAAAAAGGCAGGAUACCCUGAGGCAUUUGCAGAUCUGUAGGCCGCCUCUCCAUGACGCCCAGGUAGACGCUGAUGCUGACUGCAAAGAGGAGGGCAUCACUUCCCAGACCGAGGAGUGCAAAGCAGGAUCUGUGGACCUACCUCAUCUCAGCAAGGACAAACUGCCUGUAUCGGUACAUGAUAGUGAAAUGCAAGAACCAGGAGAUCCAGCGGAGAGACCCCAAGACACAUCGCCAAAAUCCGUCUUGCUAUUCAGUCCUAGCUUGGACAACCCUCCCUGCAGAGUGCCCCGUGCAAAGCUGCCAAAUGUACUUUGUCCUCACUGCAAUGCGCAGUUCCUAAGAAAAAAUUUAAAGAAGCACCUGUACAGAAAACACUCCGAUAAAGCUGUGGGAGACAUCGCUGCAAAUUCCCAUGCUGAUGUUGAUGAGAGGGAUAACAAAGACGCUGUGAAAAAGUCGUUUCUUGGACCACUUUUGCCACUUGAUCUCCAAAACAAAACCUGGGGCAAAGGGCACCAAAUCAAGUGCGAGCCCAGUGAGUGCGAUAUUGCCGAGUCGGGUACGGCUGCAGCCGGGAGCCUCCCGUCUCAUGCCUGGGCGUAUCCAGCGCUACACAUCAGUAUAAUUCAAAAAAAUAACACACUGCGGCUGACACGGUGCACGGUGUGCUGUACCAACUAUCACUGUCCCCUUUGCCCCACUUUAUUGUACAAGCCCCGGUGUAGGGCAAAGGUGUUGCAGCACAUGGCAGUGCAUGUAAAAAAUGCCAUUCAACAUGAAGAUUUCUUCAUAACAAAAUGCCACCAGGCCUGCAGGAGUGGAAGCAGUGGCCACUUCCACUGCCCUAUCUGCCUCAGGACCACAAUAAAAAGGCAGGAUACCCUGAGGCAUUUGCAGAUCUGUAGGCCGCCUCUCCAUGACGCCCAGGUAGACGCUGAUGCUGACUGCAAAGAGGAGGGCAUCACUUCCCAGACCGAGGAGUGCAAAGGAUCUGUGGACCUACCUCAUCUCAGCAAGGACAAACUGCCUGUAUCGGUACAUGAUAGUGAAAUGCAAGAACCAGGAGAUCCAGCAGAGAGACCCCAAGACCCAUCGCUAGAAUCCGUCUUGCUAUUCAGUCCUAGCUUGGACAACCCUCCCUGCAGAGUGCCCCGUGCAAAGCUGCCAAAUGUACUUUGUCCUCACUGCAAUGCGCAGUUCCUAAGAAAAAAUUUAAAGAAGCACCUGUACAGAAAACACUCCGAUAAAGCUGUGGGAGACAUCGCUGCAAAUUCCCAUGCUGAUGUUGAUGAGAGGGAUAACAAAGACGCUGUGAAAAAGUCGUUUCUUGGACCACUUUUGCCACUUGAUCUCCAAAACAAAACCUGGGGCAAAGGGCACCAAAUCAAGCGCGAGCCCAGUGAGUGCGAUAUUGCCGAGUCGGGUACGGCUGCAGCCGGGAGCCUCCCGUUUCAUGCCUGGCAGUAUCCACUGGUACAUGAUAGUGAAGUGCAAGGACCAGGAGAUCCAGCAGAGAGACCCCAAGACCCAUCGCCAGAAUCCAUCUUGGACGACCCUCCCUGCAGAGUGCCACGUGCAAAGCUGCCAAAUGUACUUUGUCCUCACUGCAAUGCGCAGCUCCUAAGAAAAAAUUUAAAGAUGCACAUUUACAGAAAACAUGAGAGGAAUAAGAAAGAUGCUUUAUGCAUUGAUGAGAGGAAUGGUGAUGUCCAAAAGAAAACCUGAGGGAAAGGGCACCAAAUCAAGUGCGAGUCCAGUGAGUGCCAACAGGCCUGGGAGGAAAGGGGAAAGUAAACUGAUAAUGGUAAACUGAUGAUAAGCUGAUAAUAAACACAAUUAAUGUAAGGAAGUGGAAGUGAGGCGGUGUCUAAUUUUGACCCAAACCACAAUCUUUUUUUCUAAACUUAGCUGAGUUUAUUUUAAUUUUUUUUUUUUUACGAGAUGCCAUGCCACCAAAAAAGCAUCCAGCAGAGGCUUAGGAGGUUCUCAGUAUUUAGCGAUCGAUCGACAUGCUGAUUGAGGUUUCUGUUAGACAACAGCAGAUGGCCGUCAUGAGCUUGAUGGAGGAAGUGAAAGCCCCACGCCAUAAAACAUUUGAGUAGGACAAGCGGAUUAUCUUGCUGGACAGGUUGCAACAUUAAGGCUUGUCACCCUCUCCCACGGAGAAAACAAGACGGAUAAACCAGCCAUCAUCAUUCGUUUUGCCAACAGGAAACCUAAAACGCAACCGCUGACACAGGGAAAAUGGCUAAAGGGCACGGAUGUUGUAGUUGAGUGAACACCUGACUAAUACAGAAACACUGACGGUGCUAGAAAAGCCCCACUCUCUAGAAGGAAGAAGAAGAAAAAAUACAAUCCACAUGGACUGCAAACUGCAAAAUAUCUGAAAGCUGAAUGGAACAGCAGUUCUAGUCAUUAGGGACCUGGAGGAGCUGGAUAAAUACCAAUGAGACAAACCAUAAUAAGAUAUGCAGCCUCAAUGGAUGACAUCUGGGAAGAAGAGGAACGUUCUACAGACCAACUGUGCUGAAGCUGCGAGAUGAGUGCAGAGUUUCCGGACGACCACAUUUCUUCAUACCGUACUGGUCUGCUCCUACUCUUAGGGUGCUUUCACAACCUCUUUCACAAGUCUCGGUGACCAGAGCAGACGGAGCAACGCCUCUGGCAAGACGAUGCCUGAUCAUUUCAGUGAAAUGAGAUGGUUUGACCAUGGAGAAUGCAAGACAUAUGCACCAGUCCAGAAAACAGGACCUUCUUCCUGUAUUUACUUUCUUGCUCCCGCCCCCAGACACAUCCGACCAAUAAGAGGAGUGGACGUUCUUGGAUUUUUCCAGGUGUGAAACCAAACCAAACCGAACCGAGGGCAAAUCGCUCCAAGUUUACAAACUCACCAACUGAUUUGGACUAAAGCAAACAGACUACAGGUGUGAAAACACCCUUAGUGAUGUUCUUCUAGUAGUUGCAGUUGUUGUAGUAGUCAUUGUAGGCAUAUACUGUAUGUACAUGUAGUAGUAGUUGCACCUGUAUCCAGUUUUAGUUGUUGUAGUCGAAGUUGUACUACUUUUUAUAUGUUAAAAAAAAGUCAUGGCAUAGUAUGUUACGAAAUAUCUCCUAAAAAAUAUAAAGUAUACAUAAAGUAUAUAUUUGAUUAAUAAAACGGUAUGGUAUGUCAUAGAAAAAGUCACAGUAUAGUAUCUAAAAAAGUCUAUUAAAAGACAUAGUUCAGUGUGUCAUUAACAAUGUAAAAAAAGAAUCACAGUGUAUUAUAUCAGUAUAGUAUAUAGUAACAUUAUGACAAGGAAGACCUUGGACACCCACACAGUUGUUUUCAGGUAUUCUGGCUGAUUAGACCUCUGCCCAGGUUAAAGUGGCCAGAGCAUAGAUGGGAAUUUAUUACAUCACAAAUUUGAUCUACCAGUAAGAAUGAUAAAGAUGUCAUGUGUCCCGCCCUAACAGGUGCCACAGAGCUAACUGGAUGCUCAGGAAGAUGUCAAUCAAUCAGUUCAUACACACCCACACAUGACAUCUUUUUAUCAUUCUUAUUGGUAGAUCAAUUUUAUGACGUAUUUUUGACUUAAUAAAUUCCCAUCUAUGCUCCGGACAGAGGUCUAAUCAGCCAGAAUACCUGAAAACAACUGGGUGGGUGUCCAGGGCCUUAAAGAACACCCACCUUGAAUGAAAUGUCUGUUCAAAAUCCAGGAAUGUUUUGGUGCACUGAUGAUGCCAAAAUGGAGUGGUUGUUUAAAUCAAUGUAUAUAAGCUGGCGACCUUUGUCUGUAAAGCAUGGGAAAAAGGUUUAUUUGUUUAAUAUAUGUAAUUUAUGUUGCUAUUCUGGUAUCUGGUCCUUUGCUGUAAAUAAUGGUGUCUUGUAAGCCCGUUUGGGCUGGGUAUAUAUAUUUUUUAUGCAUGACUCAAUAAUAAUAAAAAAAAAAAA